CGGCAGGAAGGCUCGGCGCGUGCGCAGAGAAGCCGGGAGAGGAAACUGGGCCUUGUGCGCAUGCGCCAGAUGGAGAGCGCCCCGAUUGAAAGUGCGAGGAAGAGGCUGUUUCAGUGGAUAUCGGCGACUCCAAGGAUGUGUGCAGGAGGAGCCCAAAUGGGAAGAAACCCCUUGACCCCCAGAGAGACGCUGACUCGGACCGUCCCUGAGCUUAGACCAUGAAACCUACAAGAGCGACACCUUGGGGGACUCUGGAUACCUCAAGGAGGUCAGAUCAGCGAAGGAAAGUGGGAAAAAGAAUCCCCAGCGGGGGUCAUCUGCUCGGAGCCGCACCCCCGUCAAGGAGACUCCUGGUACCCCAUCAGAGCCCCACGAGACUUACUUGUGUGGCGGCGGCAAGGACAUGCCCCUGGGCGACCAUCAGAGCCCUGCACGACCCCCUCACGCCUCACUCAGUUCCCCCGUCUCCGCCUGCCCAGCGGCCUCGGUUCUGCUUGCGCCCCUCUGCUGGUACUGGUGCUUGGUUGCACUGGUGGCGGUGCUUUUUUGAAAACCCAGUGGCUGCUGGUGCUGGGGUAGUGGCAGGGGAAGUAGUGGUGUUUCCUCGUCCUCAAAUCCACCGCCUCACCCGCAUGCUGAGCAGCCUCCUCUCUGAUUGUGCCGUGCUGGGUUCCAGUGGUGGCGCAGGUGGCGGUGCUUUUUGGAAAACCCGGUGGCUGCUGGUGCUGGGGUAGUGGCAGGGGAAGUAGUGGUGUUUCCUCGUCCUCAAAGUGCCUCUGGGUGCAUGCAGCUGCUGUGUUGGCGAAUCCACUGCCUCAACUGCGUGCAGAGCAGCCUCCUCUCUGCUUGCGCCCUGCUGCUGCUGGUUCUGGGUUCCAGUGGUGGCGCAGGUGGUGGCACUUUUUUAAAGGCCUUUUGGACACAGGCGAUGAGGGAACGCAGGCCAAGGCACGAGGGGGUCCUGGGACUCCUUUUCCCGCUUUCCAUUUCUAGCCUGACAAUUCACCUCCAGAUUCUGGGAAACAGCCAUGAUCAUUAAUCAGUCUAUCGAUUAAUUUAAUCUGUAUGCCGUCCUUCCUCUGAAGCUCUCAGGGAGGCUUGCAGCAUAAAAAGACAAAAUAAAAACACAGCAUACACAUUAAAAACAAGAACGAACUCAUAAGCCAACCUCCCAAUCCACAAGCAUGUUUAAAAGGCCAUGCAUUGUUUAAUUAGCCAAAGGCCUGGUUCUAGGGCAGAAAGGCCACUACCAUUGUGCUACGAGCCCUGCUGGGCACCUCUCAGAAUCUGAACCCACCCCGCACCCUACCUGCUUCGCAUCUCCAGCAGCCUCCAGGCUGUCAGAACAAACAUUGCUGGCUCCCGCCUCCUUUCUGGGCUGGGCAGAGAGUGCUGGUCCUGCUCAUCUGACCUUCAAAGAUGUUUCUUCUUUUUUUUUGCACUUCCAUGCCAUGAUAGGCGAGAGAGGGCUGCUGUGGGGUCACCGGCCCGCAGGAGAGGUACUCCUCCUUGUUCACCUGGAAACGCAUGCAAGCAGAUAACUUACAAGAUAAAUACUGAACCAAAAGCAACCUAAGAAAAAUAACUUUUUUUUUUAAUGACUGGAUAAACCACUCAUUCAAUUGUAUCACCUCUUGACUGAUUGCUUGGAGGAGUUCCAGAUAAAUAUAUAGAUGAUAAUAUUUAUUAUUAUCAUCUAUAUACUUAGACAUAUUUCUGGACAUCUUUUUGAGGCAAUUUUGUGCCCCACCCCUCACCUGCGCCCCUGGCGGGGGCCCAUCUCACCACCCCCUAGCUUGGGCCCUGCCUGGACCAUAGAGAAACCCUCUCCAUAAAACUAUAGGGAUCUCUAAAUCAGGCCUUCCUCCUCCACCCCCUGGAUCACUGGGAAACACUUCCCCUGCCACACAAGGUCACAACAUACCUCCGGAUUUUCCUGGGUUUCCCUGCACCGCUGGGCUGCUGCUGGUUCCCCAAACCACGGCCCUGCAAAGGAAGAAGGACAUUGUACUCUCUAGGGGGGCAGAACAAGCACCCCUGCCAGGCUGCCCAUGCCCACGUCACCACAGGCUGCCUACCUGCUCCUGCCUGGGCGCCUGACCCCUGGCUUGGAAGGAGGGGAGCAAGGGGCUGGGGCGAGACGGGACUGCAACCCCCCAACCCAGCCCUGUUUCACGCAGGUCAGCGCCAUGACCUCCCUGUAAAUGUGGGGAAUGGAUUCCCCAUGGAAUUAACUUACCACAAUCUCCAGAGGUUGAUUCACUCCAGCCUCCUUCAUCGUUUGGCGUCUCAGGAGCCUUUUUUGUCCUAGGAGACAGAAAGGAAAAUAAAAAACAGAGGAAGAGGUUACAGGUGGGAAAAUGUCCGGGAAUCCCAAAGUCUAAACUCAGAGACCUAGACUCAGGAUCCAGCCUGCACCUCAGCCUUUCCCUGUUCCCUCCAUGUGCCCUAUUAGAGAUUGUAAGCCCCUCGGGGCAGGACCCUUUCGAUGAAGGGUCAUGUGCAGCGAUGGCGCAAAGAAAUAAUUCAGAAGUAAUUUCACCAGGCUCCUCCCCGUGCAAGCUGAAGCCUGCUAGGCGCCUUUCCUGAAUACUCCAAAGCCAAGCCCUGGCUCCAUGGCUCACCUGAAUUAAUGGAAUCCUCUUGCCUCCAAGUUUGGAGAGAGCCCCUUCUUUCGGCAUUGAACGGCCACAUGCUCAGAGCGAUGGUGGCUGUAUCCAGCUCAGCUUCAGCCCCUCCCCUCGUGCCCCCUUCUAGAACCCACCGCUCUCCACCGACUCACCUGCCCCCCCCCUCAAACUCCCUUUCCCCAUGGAAUUAACUUACCACAAUCUCCAAUGUUUCUUUCAGUGGCACACCAGCCUCCUUCAUGGUUUGCCGUCUCAGCAGCCUUUUAUGUCCUAGGAGACAGAAAGGAAAAUAAAAAAGGAAGAGGUUACAUGGCUCCAUGGCUCACCUGAAUAAAGGGAAUCCUCCUGCUGCCAAGUUGCACAUGCUCAGAGCCAUGGCGGCUGUGUCCAGCUCAGCUUCAGCCCCCCCCCCGGGCCCCCUUCUAGAACCCACAGCUCUCAACCGACUCUCACCUGCCCCCCUUCAAGCUCCCUUUCCAAGCCUCCCUCCAUCUUCCGUCUCCACCAGAAUUCCACUCUCUCUCUUCCCCCUCCCUCCCUGCUUGACAUUCCCUUUGGAAUUGUAAUAGCAUCACCUCACAAUAAUACUAUUGCCACUCAUCUCCUCUAGGCCUCCUACCUGGAGAAUCCAUCUUUCUCUACCAACUCUCACUGUCAUCUGACAGGCAUCCCCCCUUGCAGGGCAUUAUAAGGCUUGCUUGCAAAGCAGCACUUUGUGACAUCAGCUGGCAAACGGGCCAGGCUGCUGGGUUGUCCGGCAGCUGAAUGAAGAAAAAUAAAACCAGACUUGCGGAGGCGAGGGAGGGCUGCUGUGGGGUCCCUGGCCCUCAGGAGGGGUACACCUCCUGUUCAGCAGGAAACGCAUGCAAACAAUAACUUUCAAGAUAAAUACUGAACCAAAAGCAACCUAAGAGAAUGGUUUUUUUUUAAUGACUGGAUAAACCACUCAUUCAAUUGUAUCACCACUUGACUGAAUUUGUGUUUACCUCCUGCCCUUCCAAGCCACUACAAUGGCCCUACGAGCCCUGCUGGGCACCUCUCAGAAUCCGAACUCACCCCGCACCCUUCCUCCUUCCUUCUCCAUCAUCCUUCUUGCUGUUGCAGCACACAUUCAGGGCUCCUGUCUCCUCCUAGACUACAUUCAGAGAUGAAAAAGCAACAGAGCGUAAGAUCCUCCUUUUGCUGCAAAAUAACUGUUUAUGAAUACAGAUUCAAGUCCCAGAAAGUGCCUGCAAAAACAAAUAGCUUUUUCCUUUGGAAAUAAAAACAAAACAAAACUACACAAUAUUUUACGAAAGGAAGAGGAUUCACUCCAGGCUCACAGGCUCCACUGAGAGGCCCUAUUUCACGGAUGCUUUUGUGGAGAUUCCUGCAUUGCAGGGGGGUUGGACUAGUUGACUCUUCCAAUUCUAUGAUUCUGUGUAGUUCCUGCUACAUAUGAAAUGGUUUGGUAUUUUUACAGGGGAAAUCGGAUCAGUUGUAGAAGGGUUAGGCCAGAGACCGAGGGCCCAAACUGCAACCCAAAACCCACUUAUUUCUCGCAAAGUGCCAACCUGGAAGUUUAACCUGUAUAUCAGUUUUUCUGUGUGUUUCACGCUUCUUCUGUAUGACUGCUGUUGUGAUAAAUAAUCCUUCAUAAGAGUUAUUGCCUUACAUUCUUCAUUAAAAUUAUCUUGCCAUUGAUAUAUAA